rnacentral:rRNA from 2 species
UUAAGCGACUAAGCGUACACGGUGGAUGCCCUGGCAGUCAGAGGCGAUGAAGGACGUGCUAAUCUGCGAAAAGCGUCGGUAAGGUGAUAUGAACCGUUACAGCCGGCGAUGUCCGAAUGGGGAAACCCAGUGCAAUUCGUUGCACUAUCGUUAACUGAAUACAUAGGUUAACGAGGCGAACCGGGGGAACUGAAACAUCUAAGUACCCCGAGGAAAAGAAAUCAACCGAGAUUCCCCCAGUAGCGGCGAGCGAACGGGGAGCAGCCCAGAGUCUGAAUCAGCUUGUGUGUUAGUGGAACGGUCUGGAAAGUCCGACGGUACAGGGUGAUAGUCCCGUACACCAAAAUGCACAGGCUGUGAACUCGAAGAGUAGGGCGGGACACGUGGUAUCCUGUCUGAAUAUGGGGGGACCAUCCUCCAAGGCUAAAUACUCCUGACUGACCGAUAGUGAACCAGUACCGUGAGGGAAAGGCGAAAAGAACCCCGGCGAGGGGAGUGAAAAAGAACCUGAAACCGUGUACGUACAAGCAGUGGGAGCACCUUCGGGUGUGACUGCGUACCUUUUGUAUAAUGGGUCAGCGACUUAUAUUCUGUAGCAAGGUUAACCGUAUAGGGGAGCCGCAGGGAAACCGAGUCUUAACUGGGCGUUAAGUUGCAGGGUAUAGACCCGAAACCCGGUGAUCUAGCCAUGGGCAGGUUGAAGGUUGGGUAACACUAACUGGAGGACCGAACCGACUAAUGUUGAAAAAUUAGCGGAUGACUUGUGGCUGGGGGUGAAAGGCCAAUCAAACCGGGAGAUAGCUGGUUCUCCCCGAAAGCUAUUUAGGUAGCGCCUCGUGAACUCAUCUUCGGGGGUAGAGCACUGUUUCGGCUAGGGGGUCAUCCCGACUUACCAACCCGAUGCAAACUACGAAUACCGAAGAAUGUUAUCACGGGAGACACACGGCGGGUGCUAACGUCCGUCGUGAAGAGGGAAACAACCCAGACCGCCAGCUAAGGUCCCAAAGUCAUGGUUAAGUGGGAAACGAUGUGGGAAGGCACAGACAGCCAGGAUGUUGGCUUAGAAGCAGCCAUCAUUUAAAGAAAGCGUAAUAGCUCACUGGUCGAGUCGGCCUGCGCGGAAGAUGUAACGGGGCUAAACCAUGCACCGAAGCUGCGGCAGCGACACUAUGUGUUGUUGGGUAGGGGAGCGUUCUGUAAGCCUGCGAAGGUGACCUGUGAGGGUUGCUGGAGGUAUCAGAAGUGCGAAUGCUGACAUAAGUAACGAUAAAGCGGGUGAAAAGCCCGCUCGCCGGAAGACCAAGGGUUCCUGUCCAACGUUAAUCGGGGCAGGGUGAGUCGACCCCUAAGGCGAGGCCGAAAGGCGUAGUCGAUGGGAAACAGGUUAAUAUUCCUGUACUUGGUGUUACUGCGAAGGGGGGACGGAGAAGGCUAUGUUAGCCGGGCGACGGUUGUCCCGGUUUAAGCAUGUAGGCUGGUUAUCCAGGCAAAUCCGGAUAAUCAAGGCUGAGGUGUGAUGACGAGGCACUACGGUGCUGAAGUAACAAAUGCCCUGCUUCCAGGAAAAGCCUCUAAGCAUCAGGUAACAUCAAAUCGUACCCCAAACCGACACAGGUGGUCAGGUAGAGAAUACCAAGGCGCUUGAGAGAACUCGGGUGAAGGAACUAGGCAAAAUGGUGCCGUAACUUCGGGAGAAGGCACGCUGGUGUGUAGGUGAAGCCCCUGCGGGUGGAGCUGAGACCAGUCGAAGAUACCAGCUGGCUGCAACUGUUUAUUAAAAACACAGCACUGUGCAAACACGAAAGUGGACGUAUACGGUGUGACGCCUGCCCGGUGCCGGAAGGUUAAUUGAUGGGGUUAUCCGUAAGGAGAAGCUCUUGAUCGAAGCCCCGGUAAACGGCGGCCGUAACUAUAACGGUCCUAAGGUAGCGAAAUUCCUUGUCGGGUAAGUUCCGACCUGCACGAAUGGCGUAAUGAUGGCCAGGCUGUCUCCACCCGAGACUCAGUGAAAUUGAACUCGCUGUGAAGAUGCAGUGUACCCGCGGCAAGACGGAAAGACCCCGUGAACCUUUACUAUAGCUUGACACUGAACAUUGAGCCUUGAUGUGUAGGAUAGGUGGGAGGCUUUGAAGCGUGGACGCCAGUCUGCGUGGAGCCAACCUUGAAAUACCACCCUUUAAUGUUUGAUGUUCUAACGUUGGCCCCUUACCGGGGUUGCGGACAGUGUCUGGUGGGUAGUUUGACUGGGGCGGUCUCCUCCCAAAGCGUAACGGAGGAGCACGAAGGUUAGCUAAUCCUGGUCGGACAUCAGGAGGUUAGUGCAAUGGCAUAAGCUAGCUUGACUGCGAGCGUGACGGCGCGAGCAGGUGCGAAAGCAGGUCAUAGUGAUCCGGUGGUUCUGAAUGGAAGGGCCAUCGCUCAACGGAUAAAAGGUACUCCGGGGAUAACAGGCUGAUACCGCCCAAGAGUUCAUAUCGACGGCGGUGUUUGGCACCUCGAUGUCGGCUCAUCACAUCCUGGGGCUGAAGUAGGUCCCAAGGGUAUGGCUGUUCGCCAUUUAAAGUGGUACGCGAGCUGGGUUUAGAACGUCGUGAGACAGUUCGGUCCCUAUCUGCCGUGGGCGCUGGAGAAUUGAGGGGGGCUGCUCCUAGUACGAGAGGACCGGAGUGGACGCAUCACUGGUGUUCGGGUUGUCAUGCCAAUGGCACUGCCCGGUAGCUAAAUGCGGAAGAGAUAAGUGCUGAAAGCAUCUAAGCACGAAACUUGCCCCGAGAUGAGUUCUCCCUGAGACUUUAAGUCUCCUGAAGGAACGUUGAAGACGACGACGUUGAUAGGCCGGGUGUGUAAGCGCAGCGAUGCGUUGAGCUAACCGGUACUAAUGAACCGUGAGGCUUAACCUU